UACGGGGGGAGCAAGCGUUGUUCGGAUUUACUGGGCGUAAAGGGCGCGUAGGCGGCCAGCACAAGUCAGUUGUGAAAUCUCCGGGCUUAACUCGGAAAGGUCAACUGAUACUGUGCGGCUAGAGUGCAGAAGGGGCAACUGGAAUUCUCGGUGUAGCGGUGAAAUUCGUAGAUAUUGGGAAGAACACCGGUGGCGAAGGCGGCGACCUGGUCCGUGACUGACGCUGAGGCGCGAAAGCGUUGGGGAGCAAACAGG
rnacentral:rRNA from 1 species